ensembl:vault_RNA Vault Vault RNA
GCGCUGGUUUAGCUCAGGGGUUACUUCAAUGCAGAAUUCUCUCUUUCAGAGAUCCCCGCAAACCUCCCCCGAAAGGGGGAUCGAACCCCGGGCGCUGUCCAGCGUUUUA